rnacentral:rRNA from 1 species
CCUACGGGUGGCAGCAGUGGGGGAUAUUGGACAAUGGGGGGAACCCUGAUCCAGCGACGCCGCGUGAGUGAAGAAGUAUUUCGGUAUGUAAAGCUCUGUCAGUAGGGAAGAAAGAAAUGACGGUACCUGACCAAGAAGCCCAGGCUAACUACGUGCCAGCAGCCGCCGUCAUACGUAGGGGGCAAGCGUUAUCCGGAAUUACUGGUUGUAAAGGGUGCGUAGACGGUUAAGUAAGUCUGGAGUGAAACGCCGGGGCCCAACCCCGGUACUGCACGGGAAACUAUUGAACUUGAAUGCAGGAGAGGUAAGCGGAAUUCCUGGUGUAGCGGUGAAAUGCGUAGAUAUUAGGAAGAACACCGGUGGCGAAGGCGGCUUACUGGACUGUAACUGACGUUGAGGCUCGAAAGCGUGGGGAGCAAACAGGAUUAGAUACCCUUGUAGUC